GGAGCCAGGAGAGUCCCCUUUCUCAGAAGAGCCUGGGGAAGUCAGGCUGGAGGACACAACUCAGGGAGCAGGUCAGGUUCCUGUGGGGGACCCUGAGAGUGUCAAUCAAACCACAUGGCACUUUGUGGCGAAGACUUCAUACAUGAUGGCAUACGUGAGCAUGUUCGUUUAGACUGCACUGGGACAUGGCAAGGUGGAGUCUUCCCUAGCCCCAGCUGAGGAGACCCAAAGUUACACAGCGCUGGUGAAUUUCACUGCUGGAUGGAUGGUACUUUGGUUUACUGCCAUGCAAAUGGACUGCACUUUACCCCUUGCGGGAUAUAAAUCUGGACAAUUUGAGACUGAUAAGGCAAUAAACAACCAAGAAAAAGAAAACGGGAAGAAAUAAUUCAGAGAAAAUAAAAUAGAGACUGUUUUGAGCUGAUAACAGAAUUAGGAUCCAGAAUGAAGGAGAAAUUUGCUGUCUCCCUUGAGAAUUUGCAUUGAAAGAACAAAUCCAAAUGAAGCUUGUAAUAUUCUUAUUAGUGCCAUAUCCAGCUGGGUGCAUUUUUCAUUAGCUCUAGUGGGAGUUGCACUCUUAUGCAAAGGCUGUAAUUGGUCCCUGUAGUUUAAAAUCCAGAUCUUCCGCUGUGUCAAAGCAGCUGUAAGCUGCUCCACCGGGGCAAAGCUGCCCUAAAGCCUCUUUAACUGGCCACAGAAGGAUUCCACCCCCCGCAAGAUAGGAGAAAUCUUGCCAACUCCUCCAUGCAGCCCUCGUGGGGAGAUGGUUGGGAAAAAGGACCCCUUCACCCUUAAUGAUCCCUAGUUGCCAUAACAACAGCUGUUGUAAUUCACACCUGCGGGCCAGUGCAGAACAGCCUCCCCCCCCCUUUUGCACCUCUCCUCCUAACAUAUGCCAAGGGCUGGAACCUAAGGAAUCCAGGGUUAGAUGCACUACUCUAAUACAUGGUUUAAGCAAACAUAGGGUCAAGACAGUUUGCCUGGCUGCUGUGGAGAGCAGAGCUGCUCCCAGAGACAGACCGAGCAUGUGGCAGGCAGCCCCCAGAAUUCGAAGCAGGGAGGCUGAGAGCUGCAGCAAAGAAGUCAUUAUUUUUCUUUUUCAGCCAGUGAGAAGGCGGGAGGAGUGAGAGCAGCGGGAGUUGAGUGACCCCAUUUUCACAGUGGAAAGCCCCAGCCCGCUGUAGCUGGUGUGGGGGCAGGGCAUGGUUCUGGUGAGGCGUCCGGAAAGCGCAGGCAGGAGGAUUUUGGCAGCGCUGUAGCUGGGGCAGGCAGGGAGUUUGCUAGAGUGCCUCAGAGAGGACAGCAUGAUAAGUCUGCUUGCAGGGCAUCCUGGAGGUACAGAUGCACUCAGCCUGCCAGCGGUCAAUUUCACUGGCUUAACUAGCUAGAGGCUCCGCCACACAAGUAUGUAAGUGUUUGAAACAACUGGGACAAAACACCUCUCGUAGAAUAACCAGGAUAUCUGGACAAGCCUGAAAGAAGGGCCAUUCCCAGCUCUCAGGGAUACAUCGUCCACCUGUGUGGGAGACCAAUAGGACCUGAUCUCAAGCCCAUGGAAAUCAAAUGGAGUCUUUCCAUGUGGAAGCAACAGGAGCCUGCUGGUGGGAGGAGCAGACCGAGGAAACUGCUGUCCCUAACCAAGAACUGUAUUUCCUCUGAAAACAUCUGGUGAGGAGAGCAUCGCAGGAUGAGCAGCCUCCUUUGCCUCAGGAAAUACACCCAUUGCUCUUUCUAGGUGACUUUUACUAGCAGGGUGUUCACAUGGCUGGUGUGGACAGGAACAGUUUUUCUGAGACUCAUGGUAUGGAAUAGUGACCCCUUACCCUGUAGUCCAGAGCAUGGUUUAUAACGAGGUUGUUAGAAAAAAUAUUCCCAUCCCCACAAGCUAAGGAAAUUUCACUAGAGCCCUGCUAGGAACGAGCCUGUUUCAGCCAUGGUGUUGUGAGCACUGAUGAGCUGUAGCAUGGAUGGAGGCUAAGUGCAUUCAUUGGGAAAUCAUUGUGCAACCAAAACUAACUGUGUGAGGCUUCCAAAUUGUUGCGCUACAUGGACAUUUUCAGGGCAUAUUAUUUCUCUUUUUUAGUUGUGAUUCCUACUCAUUUAUCCAGAUUACCUGGGGAAGAAAACGGGUCAUCUUAUCCUCGGCAUCAUGCGUUUCAUCAAAAGAGGAUUACAAAUCACUCUGCCACCGAAGAACUGCAUAAUGUGAAUGGAAACCUUUUGCUUCCCUUCAAAGGGAAAAGCUUUCCAUUUGCAUACAAACCUGCCUAGCAAAAGGGGCCUUUUCUGUGCAAUAUCGGGGCAAUCAGAGUUGCAUGCAUUACCGGCUGCCUAAGGUGCUCCAGUUGAAAGUUAAACUCCCUGUUUGUAGUGACCAGCUGUUUUAGGGAUUGGUAAUAGGAUAUAUUUGCCCUAAGGUUGUCUGUUCAAAUCCAGUGCAGGUAGGGUGAAUUGUUGUCACCCCCUUAAAGGUAUAUGAAAGACACAUGAAAUGUCUCAGCCCAGUUUACAGUGAACAAGUGUCCACCCUACCACCACUGACCCUAAAAUGCAUCUCGACAGAAAGGCCAAUGAUUGAAUGGGUCUGGGGACUCAAACUCCCCUCUAUCCUCUAGCAGUGGCACCUCCCAGAGGUAAGAUAAAUAGACCACAUGGUCAUGUGGGUAGGGCACUGGACUGGGAGUCAGGAGCCAAAGUUUGUUCCCAGCUUGGGCCUCGGAUUGCAUAAGGUCUAGCUCAUUCUUGGCUGGGGUCCAGAGUCCCUGGUGUAAUAUAGGUGGCGUAGUGUUUGGAAACUUCCACUACCUAUUCUGUGGCUAGAGAAUUUCAGAUUAGCAGUAGCAUAAUCACAUGCAUGUUGUUUAUGAAAGCUCUUCAAUAAGGCUUCUUAUGACAGAUGAGUACAAUGGGAGAGGAAGAAAGAGGUAUCUCAGAGAUCAGGUGAGAGGUUUUGAAGGACCUUAGAUAGCAAAGUGCCCACAUUACUAGCUAUCUAAUGUUGAACAUAGGUCAAAGGAGACCUGAUGUGGAUACCUUCGCAAAGGAGUGAUGUUGCAGUGCCAUUGUGACAUCAUUCCAGGAGGAACAGUUGCAAAGGUUGGGCGAUUUGGGUGUGUUUUAUUGCGGGAUGGGAAAUAAUCCCUGGCUGUGAUAUUAUUCCAGGAAGUCCAUGGUCUUUCAAAGGCACAGCCUCUGGGGACUGUCUCUCAGAGAGGAUGUCUGGAAGGCUUGCAGGUUUGUGUAUAUUUGGGUAGAAUCAGCAGGUAGUGGGGUAGCUUUAUUACAGAUCACGCUGAAAUUAUAAAUUUAUGCAAGGUGUGAGUCAGGGCAGAAUUUGGCCCUGUGCUAGGAGAAAAUGGUUGUCAUCAAAACCACUUAACCUUCCCAGAAUCAGCAUUCACGAAAGAGAGAGAGACUGAUGUGGGGGAGAGAGGGAGCAGAGAGAGAGAAAGGAAGAGGCACAGACAGGAGGACAUAGCUGAGGGAUCCAGCCCUAAAAGAAUCAUCCAGGCAAUAAUUCUGUGAGAUUACACUUGCACUCCCCCCUCCCCCUCCCACACACACAUUCCAAUGUGGGAUUUUUUUCAUGCCCCAGAAGAGUUAAUUGAUCACAUGUGGUGCUCUGAGUUGUUUCCUAUGGACAUUCCUCAACCCCAUCUCCACACACACUGGCAAUGCAUAGAUAUAUUUCACUUUUUCCUUAAUCUGACAAAACCUCUGGAAUAUUUUUGGGAGCAUUUGGGGCUUUUAGAACUGUGGGGCCUCUUAAAUUUCCCACAUCCCUAAUAAGGAACCUGAACAGUCACAAGCCUAUCUAAAGGGCACUCACCUUUGCAAUGCACAAAGGAAAGUGAUCCGUCCGAUCCAGGGGUCCGAUCCUCAGAUGGAGCAAAUUGGCAUAACUCAAUUUGCUACCACAGCUGACUUAUUGCUACCACAGCUGACUUACACCCAUAGCAGAUUCUGCCUAAUCUGUUCCUUUAGCAUGGGUUCAGCUUUCGAGUACUAUACUACAAAACCUAAUGAUGAGAGCUUUAAUAUGUCAGACAAAUAAUCAUGCACCUGUAUUAAGCAGCACCUGGCACUAGCAAGGAAACCCUCAUCCCAAGCAAUCACUUUAAAGUUUGUACAGUGCCUAGUGCAUUGGGAGGCAGGUCCAUGACUGGGGCUCCUAGGCCCUACCACUAUACAUAUAAUAAUUAAUGUGAAAGUAUCCCCAUGUGGUUUCCAGUGCAGUUUGGUUCCACUUUAUCAUAAAGACCAACCUAUACUAGGCAACCAGUUUUGGACACCAGCUGAGGAUCAGGAUCAGGUCUGACCGCAAAUCUAGGAUGGUAAAUAAAUAAUUUAUAUUACUCU